CACAGGGUAAAAGCAGGGCUCUCCCCCUGGCAGUUUCUCUUUGGAUUUCCGGCGGUGAAGGAGUUGAGUCUCUCCCCCGGCCCAGUUGCUGGCUGGGCUGGGGGAGGGGAAAAGCCAUGCGGCCCGGCCUGGGAGAGAACAUUAACCCUUCCUAGACGAGAGAUGAGAGUGGAGGAGGACGAAGGAAAUGAGCAAGUGAUGAAGGUCUGGACCAGAGAGAGAGAGAGUGAGAGAUGUUAGAAAGAUGGAGAAGAGGGAGUGGCAUUUUAUGCUGGACUCUUCUGUGUAGCCAUGGACAGAGCUAUGUUUCCCUGUAAUACAGAGACUGAGUCCAGGGGGAGAAAUGUCCCAGAGCCAAAGAAGAUUCAAUGUGGGUACCCCUCGGCCCCAGGGGGUAUAUAAAAUAUGGGGGGGACAGAUGUCCCAGAGGUGAGAGAUUGAGCUUUUCUGGAACUGGACACAGCCUCCUUAAAAGGACAACCCUGGAAGCAGCCCUGAUUCUGGUCUGGUAGUGAGAGCACCGGAACAAGGACGGAAAAGGCCACCACGACACAUGGAAGGACUCCCUCUCCUCUUGAGGAACUGAAGUUGAGCAUUCUAAAGGGUGGUGCUGGACCCAGAAUUGAUUUUGGAUUGUAUUGUAUUGGGAAUUUGGGGGGGAGGAGGAGGAGGAGAGUGUUUUUGUGAGGUUUCAUUUUCCUUGGGUUUUUUUUUUUUUUCUCUUUUUCUUCCUUUUGUGUGUAGUUUAGUAAUUGUUUCUGUAGUUUAGUUAAUAAACUUUUCUUCUUUUUCAAGUGA